rnacentral:rRNA from 1 species
GUGCCAGCAGUCGCGGUAAAACGUAAAGGACAAGUAAUACACAUAAUAGGUAUAAAGAGUUAGCAAUACGGAUCUAUAUUUAACAAUGACCUAAUCCUCCCCCCAUCCUAAGGAUGGGGGGUAAGGGUGGGUAAAGUAAAAUAUGUAAAAGAUCUAGAAUCUAUAGAUGAGUUAUUAUGAGGUAUAUGAGUAGCGGUUAAAUGCGUAUAUACAUAUAUAACAACCAAUAAAGAAGUAAUAUAACUAAUACAUAGAUUGACGUUGAGUAACGAAACUUAGAGUAUCGAAUAGGACUAGUCAACCUAUUAGUUCUAAGCGUAAACGAUGUAUACUAAUAUUUAUAUUAAUAAUAAAAUAUGGAUAUAAAGCAAAUGCGUAAGUAUAUCACCAGGGGAGUACUGAUUAAUCGAAGAAACCCAAAACAAUAGACGGUUUGAGUGUUAACAGUGGAUUAUGUUAUUUAAU